CGCAGAUUACAUGUUCCUACUUAUGGAAUUGCAUCUUUAGAAGUGGUGUGUUUAUUGGAAUUUCCAAGUUAAGUCUGAACCAUUUGUGUGAAUAAUUGAACCAACCUCUUCACUCAAGGCAACCAGGUCUCAUUAGAAUACAAACAUAUAUGUUUCCUUUCAAACAGGUGCAACCAUGCUACACAGAUGUAAAGCUUUACUGCAGCAAAGAGUAAGCUUCUGUAGGGCUCUGAGUAAUUCUGCCAAGGGGAGAACUAAGGAGAGACACCCCUAAAGGUGCUCUAAAGGUAUGUGGUAACCUUAUAAGAGGUGAGUGACGAUCCCGCCCUCCUCUUCAGAAUUCAAGAUGCCACCCAUGUUAUGGUUAUGGAUAUUUUUUGGAACCAUGUCCCAACAAAUAAAAAUGUUUUUUAAUGUAAUGUUUUGGGACCAUCAUCCUAUUCUGAGUCACUAUAACUCUUUUAUCAGACAGUAUUCAGACAUACAUUAAAUAUUCAAUAUUUAUGUUAAUCCCAGACCUUAUUACUUCAGAAGCCAAAUUAGAUUGUUUCCAUGUGUCUCAUUAUAGGAAACGCAAAGCGUGAAUUCUAUCAAGGCUCUGGUGUCUGGAAAUGCUAUUGAAAUAGAAUGGAAAGAUGGCCACACAUCCAAAUUCCAUAAUAGUUGGUUACGGUUUUGCUGCCAGUGUGAACAAUGCAGGCAGGCACACAGUGGCCAGAAGGUCUUUGAUGUGCUGUCCAUUCCAGACCCAUUAGAACUCUCAGAUUUCUCAGUUUCUAGUAAGUGAUCAAAAGUGUUUCAAAAGUCAGAAUAAUUUUGUUCAAAUGAGCAAUUCAUGCCCAGAGGUU